UACGGAAGGCAGCAGUGGGGAAUAUUGCACAAUGGGCGCAAGCCUGAUGCAGCCAUGCCGCGUGUAUGAAGAAGGCCUUCGGGUUGUAAAGUACUUUCAGUCGUGAGGAAGGUGUUAAGGUUAAUAACCUUAGCAAUUGACGUUAGCGACAGAAGAAGCACCGGCUAACUCCGUGCCAGCAGCCGCGGUAAUACGGAGGGUGCGAGCGUUAAUCGGAAUUACUGGGCUAAAGGGCACGCAGGCGGUUAAUUAAAUUGGAUGUGAAAUCCCCGGGCUUAACCUGGGAAUGGCAUUCAAGACUGGUUAGCUAGAGUCUUGUAGAGGGGGUAGAAUUCCAUGUGUAGCGGUGAAAUGCGUAGAGAUGUGGAGGAAUACCGGUGGCGAAGGCGGCCCCUGGGACAAAGACUGACGCUCAUGUGCGAAAGCCGUGGGGAGCAAACAGGAUUAGAUACC
rnacentral:rRNA from 1 species